rnacentral:misc_RNA from 1 species
AGGCUUUUGACUAGUCAGCUCUCCUGAAAUGUAUUAGCAGUGCCUUUGUUGGUUCAUUAGGUGUGAUAAUUUAUCUACAUCUUCACAUGGUACCUUCAUUUGUAAAGGUCAUACUGCUUCUAAUUGUCUUUGGACAAAGAAAACAUAUAAUGUGUGACAAACUUGAUCUCAAAUCAGGCAGGACUACCCGCUGAACUUAA